UUAAAAGAAACUAAUUUUUAGUAAAUUACUGUUAAUAAUUUUUUGGGUAAACCCCCUUUUAAA
rnacentral:tRNA from 1 species